GGCAGUGUGAGCAGCCGUGCAGCUUUCUUGUGCCGUGGUGGCGUGGCUGUGACCUGCAGAUUUCUCUCCUGGUGUGGCUCAGCCUGGCACGCGGUGCUUGCAGCCAGUUGCCCCAGCCUGGCUCUGCGGCUCGCCUGGCUCCUGUUCAGCAGCUCGGGUGAAAUCUGGAGGGGAGGGGACAGCAGAGCACCCACUCCCCGCUGCAGCUCCCACCUGCAAUGGGGCAGGCACUGGGUGCAGGGAUGGGGACUGCAGCGAGAGCUGCAGCCAGGAUGAGCCUCUCCCAGUGAAGCAAUCCAACAGUGCUGGCGGCAGACAUCCCAAGACUUGUUCAAUGCUGCUUUCUUCUCCUGCUGCAGCAGGGAGGUGGAUGGAGGCUACAGGAGCAGCUGCUCCCUGCUUGCCUCCUCCUGCCUGGGGAGGCUGGCUUGGAAAGGUUUGAACGGGAACAUCAGCAUUGCCUUUGGAGCAGGGACACACUGCACACAGGCACCGCCACGUGCGAGGGCUGCGAGAGCUUAACUGCUGCAGCAGAUGGGACUUGGAAGCCACGUCGGAGCAAAUAUUUAAAGAUCCUGUUUUAUAAAGCCACUUUUUGGCCUAUAAACCACCCGCCCCGCGGCUCCUGGUGCUGUUGCUGCAGAGUCCUCUGUUUGCUGUUCCUGCUGCUCCUCCACACUACCGUCCGGUGAGACGUGCUGCGUGUGCUUGGCAGUGGGAUGGGAAGUGACUGCUACUGACCCAAUGGGGUGCCUGGGAUCAGGCAGACGCCAAAGCUGGCAGUGAGCCCAUCCUGGUGGAUGUCUUCCCGCUGCCUCUCACACAUCUCCAUGAGGACCAUGAGGUUGGGAUCCCACGUCCCCUUUUUCUCCACGAUACAUCAGGAUCCCAGCUAUGAUCCCGAGCUGUUUGCACGGGAGAUGUCACUGGGCUCUUUGGUGUCACUUUGCUGUUCCCAAGCAGUUUCCUGGAAAGACAGCAGGAAGUCAAACAUGUACGUACAUUUCUGAAGUGCUCGGGUAUUUCCAAGUGAGGCAACUUCAGAUUCCUUCCCUACCCACCCCCCCUUCCCUUUUGCUUCAAAACCCUUUCUGGCCUCAAAGUUCAGCUUGUCUUCUUGUUGUUUUGUUUUCGAGUUCUGGAGGCAGAGCCCUGCAGUGGGAGGAGGUGGGCAGCAUGCAGCCAGGUGCAGGGGGCUGGGGAGGCUGCCCAUAUUGGGGAACCCUUGCUCUGGCUUUUAGGGCCAUCUGGGACUGUAGAACCGACUGUGUGAUCCUCCCACAGACUGGACCCAUCAGCAGGUACUGCAUGGAGCUGGGAAGCAGCUGUGAGAUGGUGGCAGCAGAGCUGAGAUCUCACGUGGGGAUCUGCCUUCGUACUGCCCACCUGCCCAUACAGCUCAGCCUUCUCAGGAAGGCAAAAUGAAGUAGAAACUCAUCUCAGAAAAGGCUCUGCACAGUGGUUUACUCUGGUGGGACAUGGACAUGGGAUGGCAAGCUCAUUGAUGGAAAGGAGAUAUUUUUUCCUGUACACAGACUUAGAAAGAAAAAUCCUGCCCUCCUGUAUUGGACAAAGCUUUCUGAGAUAACCUGCCAGAAAUUUCCAGUAAUGCUUAGGCUUUCUGAGCCCUGUUCUGGAAUGAUGACGGUGCCUCCAGCCUUUGUGUGGGCUGAGGCACAAGGUCCAGCCCCUCAACUCGAUGUGGGACUGGAUGCAUUGCUCACCCUGCCUGUCUGCCCUGAGAAACUGCCCCUGUGGGGCAGACUUGUAUGUCCUGAGGUCCUGCAGUUCCCGACAACAGCUCUCGUUUUCAUAUUGCCAACACAGCCAGGACCAUGAGUGUCCUGUCCUGUUUUCCCCACUGGCUCUGCUCCAUACACAAGCUGUAGGAGAGGAGAGGACCGGCAGCCCAGUGCCAACUGGGAUGUGCAACAAGCCAAGUGUUUGUUUUGCAGCUCUGUACGCAGCAGCGUGGCUAAAUGUGGAGGCAGGUUUGAAGGCACGCUCAUUUAACUCCCCAGCCAAUGUCUGAUUCCAGGCAUGCCUGUUUCACAGAGUUUAGUUGCACAUUUGCAGAGCAGCAGUUUUGCAAGUGGAAUUCUACAGGCAGCCUGGUGGGGCCAAUGCUGGCUGCUGCCAUUGGGUGCUCAUGAGUAAGAGAACAUGAGAUGGAGUCAGGGAAUGUCUGAGACCAAUACUGGGAUGAAGUAGGAGGAGAGGGAAGUUUUCAAGUCUUGGUCAAGUUGCUGGAAGUUGUUCCUGUGCUGGUUAUGAAUUUCUCUUGUAGCUUGGCUGUGUCUUGUUGCAAGGAGCACAGCUCCCAUUGACUCCAGCAGGACCAGAGCUGGACCAGAGGUGUCUUUGUUGCAAGAGAAACUGCAAGAAAAGAUUCAGCUUUAUCUCUUAAUGAGCCUAUUCAUUCUCUCACCUGUUAAUGGGUCAGAUUUUGAAGCUCUGACUCAGUCUGAACUUUCAGUGGCUUUUGCACCUGGUGAUUUAAAUAUCUGUCUGCACAGGAGGUGAACACCAAGCGGCAUCCCUAGCUGCAGCUCCGGACCAAGUUACCUUCCCCUUUCCCCCCUCCAGCUGUUUACCGUUUCCCUCCCACCUCCACCCUGACUCAGAAGAAUGGGAGACAAACGCUCCCAUCUCACCCGCUCCAGUACAAUGCUUGGCAGCUGCUGGGGAAAAAGAGUUUGGGUGAAGCUGCCAGGCUUUGCCCGGGAGCCAUGAAGGAGAGCACGAGAGCUGUUCCACCAACGCGGUCGCCGGCAGCAGGAGCCUCCGGCACGAGGGAGCAGACAAGCCAGCUGCUGGGGGUGCUGAUAACAUCUGGACCCACCCGACGAGAGCGCAUCUCCCCAUGCUGUAAGUGCAGGCUUGGGACCUUUGGGUGCUGAGCCGCCUCUGCUCCCACCGAGUUCAGCAGGAGGUCAGGGCACUCAGCAGAGGGGUCGUGCAAGCCGUGUGUGCUGGGGCUGAGCCUGAGGCAGCGCUGGGAUCGCUGUCUGCUGGGCUGGGUGAGUCCUUCUUGGGUAGAUCCUACCAAGUUUGCAGAUAGAACCGGUGUGAAGACUGUUCCAGGGUGAGAGGGAGACCUCUGGAAUCAGUUGCAAUGCUCUUCCUAGGGUAAGGGCACAAAGUGGCCUUUAAAGAGGCAUAGCUGUAAAAGCUCAGGAGUCCCAGGGGAGCUGGAGCUUGUCCCCACGUCCCUAUGCUGGGUGCUAGGGGCUGCAAU